rnacentral:rRNA from 1 species
AAAUUGAAGAGUUUGAUCAUGGCUCAGAUUGAACGCUGGCGGCAGGCCUAACACAUGCAAGUCGAACGGUAACAGGAAGCAGCUUGCUGCUUCGCUGACGAGUGGCGGACGGGUGAGUAAUGUCUGGGAAACUGCCUGAUGGAGGGGGAUAACUACUGGAAACGGUAGCUAAUACCGCAUAACGUCGCAAGACCAAAGAGGGGGACCCUCGGGCCUCUUGCCAUCGGAUGUGCCCAGAUGGGAUUAGCUUGUUGGUGGGGUAACGGCUCACCAAGGCGACGAUCCCUAGCUGG